rnacentral:rRNA from 1 species
UGCGUAGGUGGUGAGGUAAGUCGGAUGUGAAAGCUCGGAGCUCAACUCCGAAAUGGCAUUGGAAACUACCUUGCUCGAGGGUUGGAGGGGGGACUGGAAUGCUUGGUGUAGCAGUGAAAUGCGUAGAUAUCAAGCGGAACACCAGUGGCGAAGGUGAGUCCCUGGACAACUCCUGACACUGAGGCACGAAAGCUAGGGGAGCAAACA